rnacentral:piRNA from 1 species
UUUGCUCUCAUCGUCAUUGCACUGUGCACU